GACGAACGCUGGCGGCGUGCCUAAUACAUGCAAGUUGAGCGCUGAAGGUUGGUACUUGUACCAACUGGAUGAGCAGCGAACGGGUGAGUAACGCGUGGGGAAUCUGCCUUUGAGCGGGGGACAACAUUUGGAAACGAAUGCUAAUACCGCAUAAAAACUUUAAACACAAGUUUUAAGUUUGAAAGAUGCAAUUGCAUCACUCAAAGAUGAUCCCGCGUUGUAUUAGCUAGUUGGUGAGGUAAAGGCUCACCAAGGCGAUGAUACAUAGCCGACCUGAGAGGGUGAUCGGCCACAUUGGGACUGAGACACGGCCCAAACUCCUACGGGAGGCAGCAGUAGGGAAUCUUCGGCAAUGGACGAAAGGCUGACCGAGCAACGCCGCGGGAGGGAAGAAGGUUUUCGGAUCGUAAAACUCUGUUGGUAGAGAAGAACGUUGGUGAGAGUGGAAAGCACAUCAAGUGACGGUAACUACCCAGAAAGGGACGGCUAACUACGUG
rnacentral:rRNA from 1 species